rnacentral:tRNA from 1 species
GUGAGUAUAGUUUAAUAAAAACGUCAGAUUGUGAUUCUGAAGACAGAGGAUAAUACCCUCUUACCCACC